rnacentral:rRNA from 1 species
GUGGGGAAUCUUAGACAAUGGGGGCAACCCUGAUCUAGCCAUGCCGCGUGAGUGAUGAAGGCCUUAGGGUUGUAAAGCUCUUUCAGUGGGGAAGAUAAUGACGGUACCCACAGAAGAAGCCCCGGCUAACUCCGUGCCAGCAGCCGCGGUACUACGGAGGGGGCUAGCGUUGUUCGGAAUUACUGGGCGUAAAGCGCACGUAGGCGGAACGGAAAGUUGGGGGUGAAAUCCCAGGUCUCAACCCUGGAACUGCCUUCAAAACUAGCGGGCGUGAGUCCGAGAGAGGUGAGUGGAAUUCCGAGUGUAGAGGUGAAAUUCGUAGAUAUUCGGAGGAGCACCAGUGGCGAAGGCGGCUCACUGGCUCGGUACUGACGCUGAGGUGCGAAAGCGUGGGGAGCAAACAGGAUUAGAUACCCUAGUAGUCC